ACUCUCGGCAACGGAUAUCUAGGCUCUCGCAUCGAUGAAGAACGUAGCAAAAUGCGAUACUUGGUGUGAAUUGCAGAAUCCCGUGAACCAUCGAGUUUUUGAACGCAAGUUGCGCUCGAAGCCAUUAGGCUGAGGGCACGUCUGCUUGGGAGUCUCA
rnacentral:rRNA from 1 species